UUUUUAUUUUAUUUUUGAUUAAUGUUUUUGACUUACUGAAAAUUAUGUUUUGUAUAAAACAAAUCAGACACUUAAGCGGCUAAUUUUACUUAAAAUUGGGCAUUCGAAGGUUCAUGAACUCCUAAGCGGGUGUCUAGUCGCCGCCUAAACCGAUUUAUUGAACAUUGAAUGCUACAAUGAAACUCAAAAAAUCAUUUUUACAUAAACUAGACUUAUAUUUUUGUAGCUUUUAUUAGUAGUGUUGUUGUGGAUCACCAUCCAAACUAAAACCGGUACAAUACAAGUAAUAAACAGGAAAUAUAUAUACUUGAUUUCAUAUUUUCAUACUAACACAAAGACAUGUUACUCAAAUUCCACUGUAGAAAAACUUAUUAUCUUCUUACUCAAAUUCUACUGCUUUGUUCUCCGCCGUUGCACAUUUAUCUCUACAUGAGUGGACAACGUUGGAUUUGUAUGGUUGAGUUAUUAGGUUUAUUGGAGGCUACUUUCAUAGAGAAAUGAGAACACCGAUCUUCUCAAUCAGUACUAUUGUGAAUCAAGAAUGCUAGAUAACGAUUUCAUAUUAGAAAGUUUAAAGGGUAUAAAAUACUUUAUGGUAACUAAUAGAACAAUGAUAGAGAAGUUUGAGGUACCGAUAGAUGGUUAUGCACUUAAAUUUAACAAAAUAUAUAUAAUUUGGUAUUAAAAUUAUGUUUUUGAAAGUUUUGGUUUAUAAAAAAAUUUCGUUUGUGAUAUGUAGCUAUAUAAAUAUUGUAUAUAUAAAUUAAUCGGGUGGACUUUCCAAAUAUCACGUAAUUAACUGAAAUUUUAUUUUACUAUCCUGAUAAAUAAUCCAUACUUUUUUUUCCGUCAAAAUAAUACAUAGUUAU
rnacentral:sRNA from 1 species